AACUUUCGGCAACGGAUCUCUUAGCUCUCGCAUCGAUGGAGAACGCAGCGAAAUGCGAUAAGUAAUGUGAAUUGCAGAAUUCAGUGAAUCAUCGAAUCUUUGAACGCACCUUGCGCUCUUUGGUAUUCCGAGGAGCAUACCUUUUUGAGUGUCAUUAAUAUAAAUAUCAGCCCUCUCUUGUUGUGUGGUUUGGAUGUGGGGGUUUGCUGGCCUCUUAAAGGGGGUUCAGCUCUCCUGAAAUGCAUUAGCAGAACAACCUGUUCAUUGGUGUGAUAACUAUCUACGCUAUUGAAUGUGAAGGGAAGUUCAGCUUUCUAACAGUCCUUGGACAAUUUACAUCAUUAAUGUGACCUCAAAUCAGGUAGGACUACCCGCUGAACUUAAGCAUAUCAAUAAGCGGAGGCU
rnacentral:misc_RNA from 1 species